CUCCCGUCCGAGGGCUGGGAAGAAGGGAUGGAGGCGAAGGGAACUCUCCCACCCCUCCGGGGCCCCGCGGGCGCGCUGCUUCCCAGAAAAUACGGUAAAAAGCCUUCAGCCUAAAAAUAACUGCAGCCCGUGGCUGCCCAAGGCUGAGGAACCAGCCCCUCGGGGCUCACUUAGAGAUGUCAACGUGUGGCCAUUGGCCGGUCUCUCUGAUGGGCAGAAGUCAUCUGGCGAGGUGCUGAUCCUCCUAUAGUGUUUGCAAGAUCUUUAAGAAGAAUUGCAUGGCCGAUGUCGUUGCGUUUGAGUUGUGCUAGAAUACCCUGACCAUCAGAGGACUUGGAUUUUAUGACAGAAGAGAUCAGCACUGCAAAGACAUGGCGAUGUUGUUCACAUUGCCUGGACCUGAGCCCAGGGUCCGGGACCAGACCUGUCUCAUACCCACACCUUAGAAGACAGCGCCGUGUUCGUGUUUUCUUUUUGCAGGCUGAAAGCUUUCCUGGACCUGCUGAACACUUCUGCUGUAAUCUGUCGUGGCUGUCAGGGUGCCAAGAGACAUGCCAGACCCUGGGCCACAAUAGUGGAACAGACAUGCCCAGAGCUGAAAGCUGGCACAAGGUAGUGUAUAAAGUGAGAUAUGUGAAGCCACGGGCAAAUAGUUUGGUAAUCACGUGGGUCAGUUAGGCUUGGCACAGGGCAGAGCCUGUCUGCUCAUCAAGGAAGGCAGAGACAAAACUUCGUCAUAGAAUCAUAGAAUAUUUGAAUUAUUGAAUCAUUGAAUGGCUUGGGUUAGAAGGGACCUUACAGCCCACCCAGCUCCAACCCCAGUGCCAUGGGCACAGUUGCCACUCACUGCAUCAGGUUGCCCAGUGCCCCACACAACCUGGUCUUGAGAAGAGUUGGGGGACUUCUUAAUGAGAGCUACGAGGAUUAAACAAAAACAAUUACUCCAGAAGGACUGAGGUAAAGGACACAGUGUUGUCUCAGUGGGGUCGCAAACACAUUUCAAAACAGAUUUUUGCAGAAAGAGAUGUUUCCCAUUCCCCAGAUAUCUUGUUCCCAACAACGAUUCUCGUUUCACAGUAAGGUUCAGGGUUGGAGGAAGGAGCAUGAGCCUUGCUCAGCAUUGGUGCAGGGGAUGCUCCACGUGUCUCCUCACCUAGAAAGCUAAACCUCAAAGAAUAGAAGAGCACAAUUCACUCCUCGCAGAUGGGGAAAUGGUGCAGUGAGUCAGCAAGGCAGACCACAGAUGCUGUCCAAAAGCAUUGCAGCAAUUAGUUGGAGCAAGGUGGAGAUAUAUUCCUCCAAAAUGAAAGUCUCUGUAGGCUGUUACCAGUGCUCACAGCCAUCUAGUCCCUUGCUGAACAUUUCUGACCAAAAUCCUUCCAAGCUGAUCUAUUUUCAGCCCAACCCACUCGAUACCUUGAUUGCUACGCAGCUCUUUUAGCUGCUCUUAGGUAAACAUGUUGUCAUUCCCUGGCAUUUUGCCUCGCUAAGACCAAAAAUAUGAGUGGCACAGAAAAUAAGAAAAGCUGUUCUCCUCCGCCAGGAAAAAUGAUGCUAUUUCUGAAAUAAACUGUUUUUAAUACACCUCACCAGCCAUGUGCAUAUACACACAUGUAUAAAUAUACUUGACCCGGAGGUCCAGUUCCAGUGUUGGCAUCUUGUAUGCCUAUAUGGAGACAGAACAGAGAGGGAAUUAUGUAUGUACAAACCAGGACACACCUUCGGUCCAGUCUACAUCUGAAUGCAGAACGUUGGUUAAGACAAAAUACUGAGGUCUGAUCCCCAUUAAAACAGGUUCACAGGGACUGGUCCAAACUGAGACCAGAGAGUUAUGGGCUGUCAUGAGGAGCAGCUUCUACCAUAGCGACCCAUGUGCCCCAUACCUAAAACCAGCAUCCCCAGGGUUGAACCAGAGCAGGCUGGAGCAGAUCAGUGUCAGAGCUCUAUCCACAGCAGGCCUUGUUUUUGAGGAAUGACAGUGAUGUUGGCCAGACCUCCAAGCCUCUUUUUUUUUCAGAUUUCUCUUUAUCGAGUAAACACAUAGAAGUCAACAACAGAUGGAGCAUCACAUGGAGUUACGCAGGUCAGCAAAGGCUUCGGAGACCCCGUGAGUUUGAGGAGGCAAUAAAUUGGCAGGAGAUGUGGAUGGGAAAUUAUUCUGAGGGACGGAGGAAAAAAAUAGUGGGUUGAUCUGUCGCCCCUGUGACAUGCUCAGGUUUUGUGGAGGAAGACAAAGGUGGGCAGAUAACAAAAGCUCCUGGGUAGGAAGGCUUUUGGGUUCCUCUUUGGCUGCAAAUUGUGAAAUUCAAGCAGAAAGGUAACAAACUGGUAACAAAACGGGCAGGAGUAAAGCAAAGCGAGUGCAAAACAAAAGCAGAUUUUGUGUGACAGGAGCAGAUUGAACUGAUGUGACAAAGGAGGAGGAGAGCUUUUUCAGUAGCUUGUAUAGUGCUGCGGGGAGCUGGGAGUGACAAAUGAGGAAUUUGCACAAGUGGAGAGCAACAGCGUAGGGCUGUGUGUUGAGGAAGAAAGAAAGGAGAAAAGGGAGCAAAGGACACCUAUUAAUAAAAAGAAACCUACAUUCCAUUUAAGAUUUAUUGCUAGCUCAGAGCCAGAGAAUCUUUCAUGCCUUCGCAUCUCUGAGCUAACAUUACCCAAGAGUGGGUAGUGGUGGGGAUCCACUAUGAGCCAUUGAAUUCAAGUGGAAAAGAGCUCCGGUCUUUAAUAUGCAGAAAUUAAAACACUUUGGCUGACAGAGCUUUCAAUCUGAGAAACCUGCACUGUAGUAGCAGAAUAGCAUUAGUGCUCCUGAAUACACAGCUGGUAAUUUCCGAGCACGAAAUAUCAUGCAUUGAAAAUGAAAUUGCUCCAUUUAGGAGAUCGGUGUGGUGGGGAUGGAUGAAUUCAGUGCUGGAUGAAAAAUUAAUGGUUGCCUUCAGACAGGUGUUGACUAGCUGGUGGUGUUCCAAGAAAGGACGGUCCCAUCUGGUCAUGGGGAGAGCUGUGAUGGUGCGAAAAGAAGAGAGUGAUCACCAUGGACAAAGAGCAUCCCACGAACUCAUGUCAGAGAAGAGUUUUUGUCUUGGAGGUGGAGGGCUCAGUCGGUGGGAGAAGUAGGGCUACUUCUACGUGGGGUGUGGAUGGAGAAGUUUGAGAAACGGAAGGAGAACCCAUGGAGACAAUGUGAGACAUCCCCAGAAUGAAUCCAGAUGUGCUGCUCUGUCUGUAACCCAGUGCUGUAAGGAGGACUGAGAUCUGCUGCACUGCAAGCCUGGAUAAAGAUACCCACCAUGGAUCUUCUCCCUGGACUCCUGACCCCAACUGCUCACCUUCCUCCUUCUGCCCUGGGCUAACUUCUCCUCGACUUCUGCUUUGGUUGAAAAGAGGCUGGGGUAAAAAAAGGGGGAAGGGGAGCCUGAAGGUGCAGUGAAAUUUGGUUUUUCAGCUUUAUUGCAUAAGGAAGCCCUGACAGCUUUUAACACCAUUGUCACUUGCAGGAAGAAAAGUUGUUGGCAGUUUGUGGGGGUCUCCUUUGGCUUUAGAUGGAGCAGAAGAAUGCACUAUCACUUCUGCUAUAGGCUGUGCUUAGCAGUGGAGCAAGGCAUUGCCCUAGCACCAGCAGCGCUCUGAAUUCAUCUCCACACUCCAUGUUUUCCUUCACUAAGUCUAAUGAGGGCUGCAGGCUGCUAGGGAGGCACGCAGCAAUAAAGACUGAAAACAGUACGCAGGACUUCCAGCUGCAAACUGUGUGUGACCCAGGACCUGACUUGACUUGGCUUGUGUGGGGAUCCUCUUCCCAAUAUCUGAUUCACCCUCAUACUGUAUGUAGCAUCAUGGUUUUUGUCAGCAUUCCAUAUCAUAGCAUCAUGUCAUACGUUCUCAGUACUGGGGCUGCUGGGGUUGUAAUUCCUGGUUUCCUUAUGGUGUGAUGUUAUGAUAUGGAAUAUCGAUGGACAGUACCCUGGACGUGCUCCAUAGGCAUAGGGGGACCCAGGGUGAAAGCCCACCCAAGGACCGCAGACAAGGGCACCCAUAAUAACUAGAGGGUAGCUGGAGAAGCAGCACCAUUGGGUGUAUCAGCUGUGUGUAACCUCCAGCAGCAUCAUACAAGAAAUGUUUGGCCUGACCCAAAGCCCACUGGAGAAAAUAAGGAGAAGCAUCACUUCCAGGAACAGCAUGGAUGUGGUGCAAUCAGGGAGAAAGGCAAGAAAAGCUGUGCAAGCAUUUGCCUAACGUUCUUCUGGGAGAUAAUAAUUGCCAAACAGCACUUGUUCCCUCCCUUUAUCCCACUCUGUCCUUCAGGGACAUCUGUUCCAAAGGGAAGAACCUGAUAAUUAUGGAUUGGGUCCUCCGAUGGAGGCUGGAUAUGGCCCCAAGGCAGCCAGCCUCCCUGUGCACAGUGCUCAUGCUGGGAAUGCAGCCUGUGAGUGGUUCAAUUAAAAGGUUUCUCAGCAAUGACACCAGCAGAGGCACAAGAAGCAGACAACCUAUUCACAGACCAAUUAGUUUUAUGAAUAAAUGUGUGCAGGACAGUGAGCCCAUCGGCUGAGCGAGCCAUGCCGGAGUGCUGAGCAGCACUGGGAAAUAUUCUAUUGGGAAGUUUUAAAUGCCAGUCUCCGUGCAUGGAUGGGGCUGCGUGGCUUUCCAUCAGCUCAAGCUUGCCCCUGCUGAUCCUUCAAUUCACGCUGUCUUCUCCCCAUAUAUGCCAUUCUCAUGGGCUUGGUGGGGGCAAACGCUUCGCAUGCAUGUUUUACCCAGCUCCAUCAUGUCAUCCUUCCCUUCGUGGCCAGAAUGGGCCAUGAACUCCCAUUUCUUCCCAUCAGACUGGGUUGCCUUGCAAAGGGCCCAGCCCCUCUCACCCUAUUUGAGGACCUGGGGGUUCACUGGGGCCAGCACCACUGGGCUCCAGCCUCCUGCAGCCCCAACAUAGGCCAGGUGGGUGUCAGAGCAGCUCCAAUCCCAGUAGGCGUUUAGUGUCAUUUAUACCAAGGCUAAUUACAUCUUAACAUUUUCCCUCUGUAUUUUGGUAUUUAUUUUGGAAAAGCUCCUCCCUGGAGUCACUUUCUUCCCCAGCUCUACAACAACAACAAUAACAGCAGUGCACUGCCUUUUCCCUUGGCUCCUUCCCUCAUUAUUAUAGCUCUGCCAUGCUGUUCCAGUACAGUCAGCAGAGGAAUUCAAUCAGGCUGAUGAGUAAAAGUGCAUAAUUUUAUGGCUGCAUAUCAACUGCUUGUUAUUAAACUAAUCAAUCAGCUUCAGUGCAGCUACCGGUAAAGCACGGGAGAGGGCAAAGUGAAAGAAUUGCUAUGCUGUUCUUUUUCCAAAAGGACAAAAAGACAAUUCCAAUCUGGCCAGUCGAAUUCUUCGGCUUGUACUUCUCUGCUGUAAGAAAUGCUUUGCCUGAGUUAUGGAUCGGUUGACCUGCAGCACAGUAAUGAUGGAGCUGGUGCUGCCCUUGUGCUCACCUCCAGCACUAAGCCCUAACAUGGCAACCUGCUGCAGGGAACCAGCUUUAGUAGGAGGUUGGCAUAGAUCAUCUCCAGAGGUCCCAUCCAACCUCUACAAUACUGUGAUUCUGUGAUUUGCCAUGCCCCAAAGCCCAGGAAAGUCACCAGGUACUCCCACCAUAUCUCAUCUUCUCAGGAAGAGUGGUAAUGCAUUGGAACAGGCUUUGGGGAAGUGGUGGAGUCAUCAUUCCUGAAGGUUUUCAAGGAACAUGGAGAUGUGGCACUGAGGGACAUAGUUAGUGGGCAUGAUGGGGAAGGGUUGGGAUUGGACUUGAUGAUUUUAGAGGCCUUCUCCAGCCUUCAUGAUUCUAUGAUUCUGAAGGUCUGUCCUCCAUGCCCACAAGAGCACAGCAAGUAAGGAAUUGCAUCACACAAAGAGAAACCUGGGCUACACAUCAGGUGUAACUUCCUACAGGAGAAGGGUGAGCAGCCAUUGGGACACACUGCCAGGAGGCACUGGAGGUCCUGGAACAAGCACUAUGUGCUUCUUCUAUAGCAACAUUGGGGUUGGUGUUGGUGAGGUUCUGCUUGUGGCUAGAGAUAGUUAUGAUGGAGUUGGAGGUCCCUCACAGCUCUAGGGGAGAGAGAGACUCAUCCUCUUUGCCAUCCAAGAGGAGGAGAAGGUGUAACAGGGCUUGGAACCUCAAAGCCAGACAGUGGGAUCUUUUGUGUUAAUGGACGUGGG